rnacentral:tRNA from 1 species
AAAGCAGUAGUUCAGUUGGUUAGGGCUUUUUAUUAGAGAUAGUCGGCCUGUCAUGCGUGCCGAAGGCACACGGGUUCGAGUCCCGUCCGCUCUGCCA